rfam:Microgenomates (Woesebacteria) bacterium GW2011_GWA1_37_7 TS53_C0011, whole genome shotgun sequence.
GUCAGGUUGGCGGAGUGGACAAUCGCACCAGACUGUAAAUCUGGCGCCCGUACGGGCUUCGGGGGUUCGAAUCCCUCACCUGACA